GCAAGAUCAGGCCUAACACAUGAAGUCGAGCGGAAACGAUGGUAGCUCGCUACCAGGCGUCGAGCGGCGGACGGGUGAGUAAUACUUAGGAAUCUACCUAGUAGUGGGGGAUAGCAGCGGGGAAACUCGUAUUAAUAUAUCCGCCAUACGCACCUACGGGAGAAAGGGGGCAGUUUACUGCUUCCUCGCUAUUAGAUGAGCCUAAGUCGGAUUAGCUAGAUGGUGGGGUAAAGGCCUACCAUGGCGACGAUCUGUAGCUGGUCUGAGAGGAUGAUCAGCCACACCGGGACUGAGACACGGCCCGGACUCCUACGGGAGGCAGCAGUGGGGAAUAUUGGACAAUGGGGGAAACCCUGAUCCAGCCAUGCCGCGUGUGUGAAGAAGGCCUUUUGGUUGUAAAGCACUUUAAGCAGUGAAGAAGACUCUUCGGUUAAUACCCGGAGACGAUGACAUUAGCUGCAGAAUAAGCACCGGCUAACUCUGUGCCAGCAGCCGCGGUAAUACAGAGGGUGCAAGCGUUAAUCGGAAUUACUGGGCGUAAAGCGAGCGUAGGUGGCUUGAUAAGUCAGAUGUGAAAUCCCCGGGCUUAACCUGGGAACUGCAUCUUAAACUGUUAGGCUAGAGUAGGUGAGAGGGAAGUAGAAUUUCAGGUGUAGCGGUGAAAUGCGUAGAGAUCUGAAGGAAUACCGAUGGCGAAGGCAGCUUCCUGGCAUCAUACUGACACUGAGGCUCGAAAGCGUGGGUAGCAAACAGGAUUAGAUACCCUGGUAGUCCCACGCCGUAAACGAUGUCUACUAGUCGUUGGGUCCCCUUGAGGACUUAGUGACGCAGCUAACGCAAUAAGUAGACCGCCUGGGGAGUACGGCCGCAAGGUUAAACUCAAUUGAAUCGACGGGGGCCCGCACAAGCGGUGGAGCAUGUGGUUUAAUUCGAUGCACCGCGAAGAACCUUACCUGGUUCUGACAUAUCUUAGAAUCCUGCAGAAAUGCGGGAGUGCCUUCGGGAAUUAGAAUACAGGUGCCUGCAUGGCUGUCAUCAGCUCUUGUCCUGAGAAUGUUGGGUUAAGUCCCGCAACAAGGCGAAACCCUUGUCCUUAGUUACCAGCCGGGUAUAGCCCGGGACCUCUUAAGAUAUACUGGCAGUGUG
rnacentral:rRNA from 1 species